rnacentral:rRNA from 1 species
CUUGGUCAUUUAGAGGAAGUAAAAGUCGUAACAAGGUCUCCGUUGGUGACCAGCGGAGGGAUCAUUAUAGAGUUAUUCAACUCCCAACCCAUGUGAACUUACCUAUGUUGCCUCGGCGGGGAAGCCUACCCGGUACCUACCCUGUAGUUACCCGGGAGCGAGCUACCCUGUAGCCCGCUGCUGGCCGACCCGCCGGUGGACAGUAAAACUCUUGUUUUUAGUGAUUAUCUGAGUGUUUAUACUUAAUAAGUUAAAACUUUCAACAACGGAUCUCUUGGUUCUGGCAUCGAUGAAGAACGCAGCGAAAUGCGAUAAGUAAUGUGAAUUGCAGAAUUCAGUGAAUCAUCGAAUCUUUGAACGCACAUUGCGCCCAUUAGUAUUCUAGUGGGCAUGCCUGUUCGAGCGUCAUUUCAACCCUCAAGCCCUAGUUGCUUGGUGUUGGGAGCUUGCUAUUCGCAACUCCUUAAAGCUAUUGGCGGAGUCGUGUUGGCCCCAAGCGUAGUAAUUUUUCUCGCUUCAGGUGUCCCAGCGCUGGCGUCAGCCGUAAAACCCCUAAUUUUCUAGUGGUUGACCUCGGAUCAGGUAGGAAUACCCGCUGAACUUAAGCAUAUCAAUAAGCGGAGGAAAAGAAACCAACAGGGAUUGCCCUAGUAACGGCGAGUGAAGCGGCAACAGCUCAAAUUUGAAAUCUGGCCCUCGGGUCCGAGUUGUAAUUUGUAGAGGAUGCUUUUGGUGAAGUGCCUUCCGAGUUCCUUGGAACAGGACGCCUUAGAGGGUGAGAGCCCCGUACGGUUGGACACUAAGCCUCUGUAAAGCUCCUUCGACGAGU